CGUAGCCGACCUGAGAGGUGAUCGGCCACACUGGGACUGAGACACGGCCCAGACUCCUACGGGAGGCAGCAGUAGGGAAUCUUCCGCAAUGGACGAAAGUCUGACGGAGCAACGCCGCGUGAGUGAAGAAGGUUUUCGGAUCGUAAAACUCUGUUGUCAGGGAAGAACAAGUACGGGAGUAACUGACCGUACCUUGACGGUACCUGGCCAGAAAGCCACGGCUAACUACGUGCCAGCAGCCGCGGUAAUACGUAGGUGGCAAGCGUUGUCCGGAAUUAUUGGGCGUAAAGCGCGCGCAGGCGGCCUUUUAAGUCUGAUGUGAAAGCCCCCGGCUCAACCGGGGAGGGUCAUUGGAAACUGGAAGGCUUGAGUGCAGAAGAGAAGAGCGGAAUUCCACGUGUAGCGGUGAAAUGCGUAGAGAUGUGGAGGAACACCAGUGGCGAAGGCGGCUCUUUGGUCUGUAACUGACGCUGAGGCGCGAAAGCGUGGGGAGCGAACAGGAUUAGAUACCCUGGUAGUCCACGCCGUAAACGAUGAGUGCUAAGUGUUGGGGGGUUUCCGCCCCUCAGUGCUGCAGCUAACGCAUUAAGCACUCCGCCUGGGGAGUACGG
rnacentral:rRNA from 1 species